rnacentral:rRNA from 1 species
AUUGAACGCUGGCGGCAGGCCUAACACAUGCAAGUCGAACGAGUGGCGGACGGGUGAGUAAUGUCUGGGAAACUGCCUGAUGGAGGGGGAUAACUACUGGAAACGGUAGCUAAUACCGCCUACCCUCGGAUGUGCCCAGAUGGGAUUAGCUAGUAGGUGGGGUAACGGCUCACCUAGGCGACGAUCCCUAGCUGGUCUGAGAGGAUGACCAGCCACACUGGAACUGAUACACGGUCCAGAAUCCUACGGGAGGCAGCAGUGGGGAAUAUUGCACAAUGGGCGCAAGCCUGAUGCAGCCAUGCCGCGUGUAUGAAGAAGGCCGUCGGGUUGUAAAGUACUUUCAGCGAGGAGGCGUUACUCGCAGAAGAAGCACCGGCUAACUCCGUGCCAGCAGCCGCGGUAAUAC